AUGGAAAGGCAGCUCAACAUCUGAGAAGCCAGUUUUACUCCCUGCAGGCAACAGCUGCUUCCAGAAAACAGCCCUGUAAUUGUCACCAUCAGAUCCAUAUAUUUUCAAGGGAAGUCGGUCCCACACCAGAAGUCAUAGCUGAAUCACCAGCAGUAAUGCAGGGACAUACUGGUUGCUUCUUGGCUUUUCCAACCCUCUGCCAUGCUUGAACAUCUUUGUGAAAGUCCAGGAACAACAAAUAAGCUUAAGGAUAAAAGCCCCCCAGCCAUACCACCACAACCGCCUGUUAAACUCAUGCAUGACUUGUAGAAUCCUUUCCCCACUGUCACUAAAAGGCCUUUUACAUUUUCCCUCCUUAAAACACCAGUUUACUGAAUGGAACGCUAUUUCCUAAAUAUUUGCUACACACACAGCUGUAUAUAGAGUUCCCAGGAGAUGACUUUUUUCUUGUCAUCUUUUAAAACUACAGUUAUAUGUUGAUUUAAUUAUCUUCUCUCUAGAUUACUUCACCAAAGUACAGUUCCUACUGGAAGAUAAUGAUCUGACCUAACCUACUAUUGGCUGAAGGCAUGGCAAAACCAACAGAUCAGGACACGACUGCCAUUGAAGAGACAGUUUGUCAUACUCACAGAUCCCAAGACGAGAGGAGACCACACAGAGAAGCACAAGUUAUUGUGGUUUCUGCUGCAAGGCACAGAUGGGAAGACCCUGGAGAAAGGAAAAGAAGGUGAGGAUAGAAGGGGCCAGUAGGGAUUGAAGAUUAAAAAUGUGGCAAAGCACACAUCUCAGCCCAGUGCUGUCAGAGAGUCUGCCCACAGCUCGUCUUGAAAGAAGCACACGCUUCCAGACACAGACUUUCAGUCCCCAUGGAAGAGAAGCACAGUCAACCAAGGCCACAGACUUCAGGUGAGAGACCUG
rnacentral:lncRNA from 1 species